rnacentral:lncRNA from 1 species
CUUACAGAGGUAGAGACUGAGGCCAGCACAGCCCCUGUGCAGAGGGGAGAUGGGUCACCCGGCCCCCUGCUUGGCAAGCUCCAGCGGCAUUGUGCAGUCAUUCCUGACCCCUUCUUACCUAGGGGAAGGGCCGCUCUCUGUAGAGCCCCCUCCCACGCUUUUUCCUUACCUUUCACUUUUGUCUUUGACUUCCCCCUACAGGUCACACUUACGGAGAAGGAGAACUGUCCCCCUGUACAGGAAAGUGCCCCCCUUGAUAAAGGCAGCUCUCCUGUCACCGCGGGCCCAGCUCUGGAAGUGACUGCCACAAUGCUAGGCCCUCUGACCCCUAAUGCUGUCACCAGGCCAGAUCUCAUGGAUGCCAGAGACCUGGAGAUGUCCAGGAAAGUCCGGCGUUCUUACAGCCGCCUCGAUGACCUGGGCUCCGGCUCCACCUCGACGCCCAACUACCGACGGCGCUCCUUCUUUGGCUUCGACAGACUGCUCUCAGGAGAGGAGCUGGAGAACGUCUCCCCUGUGGUGGAGAAGGAGCCAAAAAGCCAAGCAGUCGCCCCCACCGCUGAGCCCUGGGGGCCGGACUUCACCCUGCCUGGCAUCACCAUGACCAAGGAGAAGCGCCGGAAGAGGAAGGCGCCCGAGAUCUUGAAAUCAGAGCUGGACGAGUGGGCGGCUGCCAUGAAUGCCCAGUUUGAGGCUGCGGAGAAGUUUGAUCUCCUGGUGGAGUGAGGUGGAUGAAGAGGGGAUGGCUGGACUGGGCCGGACUGCCCCCUCCUGUACAUAGUACUCGGCCGCCAUCGUUGGCUGCCCCCUUUGCCCGUGGAGAUGUGCCCCUUCUCUGGGGGGUUGGCGCUUGCCCUUUGAGCCGCCCUGGGUCCUUCUACCUCGUGGACGCAGAUGGGGACGUCGCUGAGAACUGCCUUGUUACUGCCCGCUUUUCGUAGCUCCCCAUCCAGUAGAUGCCGUGCAGACAGCUCUUGGGCUCGUCCCACUAUGUCCUGAGGUGCUUCGUUUCCCCUUCCCCAGGUUUUAAUCAGGAAGAAUAAAGGCGGCAGUUGGAACCCA